AAUUCAAUUGCUGGAUCAUAUGGUAAGGGUACAUUUAGUUUUUUAAGAAACCACCAAACUGUCUUCCAAAGUGGCUGUACCAUUUGCAGUCCCAUCAGCAGU
rnacentral:pre_miRNA from 1 species